AGCGGCAGGCUUCAUACAUGCAAGUCGAGGGGCAGCAUAAAUUACUUGUAAUUUGAUGGCGACCGGCGAACGGGUGCGUAACGCGUAUGCAACUUACCUUUUACUAGAGAAUAGCCAAGAGAAAUUUUGAUUAAUGCUCUAUACACUUAUUAAUUCUCAUGAAUCUAUAAGAAAAGCUCCGGCGGUAAAAGAUGGGCAUGCGUCCUAUUAGCUUGUAGGUGAGGUAACGGCUCACCUAAGCUCCGAUAGGUAGGGGUCCUGAGAGGGAGAUCCCCCACACUGGUACUGAGACACGGACCAGACUUCUACGGAAGGCAGCAGUAAGGAAUAUUGGACAAUGGAGGCAACUCUGAUCCAGCCAUGCCGCGUGAAGGAAGACGGCCUUAUGGGUUGUAAACUUCUUUUAUACAGGAAGAAACCUUUCCACGUGUGGAAAGCUGACGGUACUGUAAGAAUAAGGAUCGGCUAACUCCGUGCCAGCAGCCGCGGUAAUACGGAGGAUCCAAGCGUUAUCCGGAAUUAUUGGGUUUAAAGGGUCCGCAGGCUGUUUGUUAAGUCAGAGGUGAAAUCCUACCGCUCAACGGUAGAACUGCCUUUGAUACUGGCAAACUUGAGUUAUUGUGAAGUAGUUAGAAUGUGUAGUGUAGCGGUGAAAUGCAUAGAUAUUACACAGAAUACCGAUUGCGAAAGCAGAUUACUAACAAUAUACUGACGCUGAGGGACGAAAGCGUGGGUAGCGAACAGGAUUAGAUACCCUGGUAGUCCACGCCGUAAACGAUGGUCACUAGCUGUUUGAUGUACAUUGGUACAUUGAGUGGCUAAGCGAAAGUGAUAAGUGACCCACCUGGGGAGUACGCUCGCAA
rnacentral:rRNA from 1 species